CUCUAACCUGGCUCUGUCUACAUCCUUUGGCAGCCUGUUGCGCCCCCUUGUGGUCACGACCAAGGCUUCAUACGGGAGAAGCCUCUCACCUCUGAUGCCCCAGUUCACCGCGUUGCUGCUGUCGUACUGGAAGUAAUCGGCACUUUGGGGCUGAGGGACAAACACAGGGAAGAGAUUACAGCACAGGAGGAAGAGGCUGAGAGGAAGAGGAGUGGGACAGCUCAG